AUUGAACGCUGGCGGCAUGCUUUACACAUGCAAGUCGAACGGUAACAGGGUGCUUGCACCGCUGACGAGUGGCGAACGGGUGAGUAAUGCGUCGGAACGUGCCGAGUAGUGGGGGAUAACGCAUCGAAAGGUGUGCUAAUACCGCAUACGUACUGAGGUAGAAAGUGGGGGACCUUCGGGCCUCACGCUAUUCGAGCGGCCGACGUCUGAUUAGCUAGUUGGUGAGGUAAAGGCUCACCAAGGCGACGAUCAGUAGCGGGUCUGAGAGGAUGAUCCGCCACACUGGGACUGAGACACGGCCCAGACUCCUACGGGAGGCAGCAGUGGGGAAUUUUGGACAAUGGGCGCAAGCCUGAUCCAGCCAUGCCGCGUGUCUGAAGAAGGCCUUCGGGUUGUAAAGGACUUUUGUCCGGGAGCAAAUGCCUGGUGUUAAUAGCACUGGGAGCUGAGAGUACCGGAAGAAUAAGGACCGGCUAACUACGUGCCAGCCGCCGCUGUAAGAC
rnacentral:rRNA from 1 species